UUCUGUAAUGAAUAUAAGCAAC
rnacentral:miRNA from 1 species